AUUGAACGCUGGCGGCAUGCCUUACACAUGCAAGUCGAACGGCAGCACGGGAGCUUGCUCCUGGUGGCGAGUGGCGAACGGGUGAGUAAUACAUCGGAACGUACCCAGGAGUGGGGGAUAACGUAGCGAAAGUUACGCUAAUACCGCAUAUUCUGUGAGCAGGAAAGCGGGGGAUCGCAAGACCUCGCGCUCUUGGAGCGGCCGAUGUCGGAGUAGCUAGUUGGUGAGGUAAAAGGUCACCAAGGCGACGAUCCGUAGCAGGUCUGAGGGGAUGAUCUGCCACACUGGGACGUGGACCCGGCCCAGACUCCUACGGGAGGCAGCAGUGGGGAAUUUUGGACAAUGGGGGCAACCCUGAGCCAGCCAUGCCGCGUGAGUGAAGAAGGCCUUCGGGUUGUAAAGCUCUUUCGGCGGGGAAGAAAUGGCAACGGCUAAUAUCCGUUGUUGAUGACGGUACCCGCAUAAGAAGCACCGGCUAACUACGUGCCAGCCGCCGCCGUAAUAC
rnacentral:rRNA from 1 species